UCCCUGGCGGUCCAGUGGUGAAGAUGCCGCACUUUCAAUGCAGGGGGCACAGGUUCAAGCCCUGGCCUUGGAA
rfam:TPA: Bos taurus chromosome X, whole genome shotgun sequence.